rnacentral:lncRNA from 10 species
CUGACAUGUUGUGAGCUGCCUACGGGGAGCCCACAUGGCAAGUACCAGAAGGAGGACCCUGGCCAGCAGCCAGCAAGAGACUGAGGCCCUCAGAACAACAGCCUGUGAGGAACUGAAGCCUGACAACCACCAAGAAUGAGUUUGGAAGGAUCCUCUCCCAGUUACGUCUUCAGAUAAGACUGAAGCUCCUGCCAACACUUAAACUGCAGCACUAUAAGAAACUUUGAGGCAGAAAACCCAGCGAGUAUGCUCCAACCAGCAGCGCGGACCGCAAGUGGAGCCCGGCAAUUGGAAAGUUGCAAAUGCCUGGAUGCUACGUUUUGCAUCUUCUUUAGAUAUCCUUGACUCAUACAUCCUGUCUGGGCUAAUGUUGUUUUCUGCUUGCAGUGUGUCUGGAGUCUCAACAAGUGCCCAAGCCACCCUCAAAGGGUCACUCCUUGUUUCAAGAGCACUUGUGCUUGCCUUGACCUCUCUGUCGCUCUCUGAUUCCACUUAGGAAGCUGCUUAGUUCCAUUUUUCAACUGAAAAAUUAUCCUCUGCUUCAGGCCACUCUGUCAUACUGUUUUGUGUAGUGUUUUAAAGCUAAUUUGAACUAGGCAAUGUCUUAGCCUUAGAUAUAGACAGAUAAUUUUCCAGAUCAGACAAGCUAUAGUAAAGCUUCAAAGGGAAAACUUUUAUUCCUAAAGAGAAUAGAAAACUCAUCUGUGUUAUUCAUAUUGUAUUUAAGAAAUGACCCAAGUUGAAAAUAAAUGUGACAUGUGAAACUGAAUAUCCACUAAUAUUUCUGGUAGCUUCUGCAAUUAUGUCUAAAGUUUUCCAUUUUACUGUUGAGCUUUUAUAAUAAAUACAGGGACCAAGAAUCAUCUUCUGACAAUGAAGCAAGGGAUCAGUUCAAUUGAGACUAUUAGGCAGAAGGGGGAAACUGGAAGAAAUAUAUUAAUCUUUUUCUUCUGAAUGUCUACAAUGUAAUGCCAGAUUAAAACAAAACCAAAUAAAACAAAAAAAGAAGCAGAUGAACUUAAGAAGAAAGGUUAUAAAUACCCAAAUGUUUAGGUACCAUUAUCAUUACUUGUUCUUACAUUUUAAACUGGUUAUUUCUACAAACUAUUUGGUGCACGUUUAAACUAUUAUCUUGAAUUUUCAAGCAAAAUUCCUCAUAUGAACAUUAUGUAC